CAGCAAUGGGGGUGGCAGCUGAGCAGGAAGGUUAACACUUCCCUGCCUGUUCCCUGCAGGACAGACAGUGUGGGCAGCUACAGGAAGAAACCAGCUGUUCCGGGACACAAGAAGCAACCAUGUCCUUAUGGGAGGAAAUGUACCUAUGGGCACAAAUGUAAAUACUAUCGUGCAGAAAGAAGAAACCAGCCUCAGCAGUAUGCAGCCAAUGGACUCUGUGCAAUGUAAAGGAAUACAUCUGCCAAAAGUGUAAGUCAGCUGGAUCCUAAUAUAAAGAAGCAAGGCUUAGAGAAAAAGGCUUCCCACCAAAAAAAAAUCAAACCGGACCUGAUCCUUCAUCAGCCUGAGAAGAAAGUGAAACUUGAAAGACUCUCAGAGGCUUGUUAAAAGAGCUGCAGAAAAGCAGGAAUAGAGAAGUGGGUUGUAAAGACAUACUGCAGAGUGUAAUGCUAGCAACCUCUCUUCACUAUAUGAGUAUUCAUGGAUUUUUGUGCUCAUUGAUUUUUGUAACUUUUAUUAAGAGGGAAGAUGUGAUUAUAGAGGUUGUAAUUUGCAGAAACACCCUUACCUAAACUACCAAGGGCAGAAAGUGGGAAAUGGUCCCUCAGUUAAAGUAGUUAGAAAACCCAAGGGACUGCAGAAGCUUGUGUACAGCUCCACAAAUAAAGUUUAUUAUUAGUUCUCA